GUAGUAGCUUAGUGGUUAGAGUAUCAGUCUCCAAUUCUAAGGUACAAGGUUUGAAUCCUGUCAGUGACA